GCGAGCAAACUUAUUUUUGGAGAGGAUAGGCAGUGUCGGUUUCCGUUCAGAAUAUUGCUGGCUUAUUUCUAUAUCUGGCAGAUUGUGCUGUUUCCCAGCAUGUUCCUCUAAAUCCUCCAAAUAAGCCAGGGUUAAUUGUGUUUGUCCACCAAUAACAAAGCAAAUAUUAUGCCACAGUCGAUUCUGAAUCUGGAAAAGAAGAAGAGCAUUGAACAAGCAACGUCGAUGAGCAACCAAUUCCGGCUCAAGUUCUCUUAGGGCUCACUAAAUAAAUAUGCGAUGGCUUCAUGCAUACCUGUUUCUUAUACCUUCCUCCUCCUCCUCCUCUUCUCGCCUACUUACGUACAUAAAAUCUUGAUCCCUCUUUACUUUAUCAUCGCAUCCUCAUCAGUGAGACCGAGAUUACGAGUACGAGUUAGUUUACACGUGUGUUGCUCAAGUACGUACUAUCUGUCCAACUUCAUUCAUUUCAUUCUGGGCAUUCUCCUUGCAAUGUUGUAGAAAAAAAACUAUAUACGCAACAGAGCAGAAACUCUUGAUGUCAAGGACAAGGACGACCACACAUUACACAAGGUGUGGUGUGAUGUAUGAAUGUGUAAUAUUUUUAGUGAUGUGUGCUCCGUUUCACACUUGUCGUGAGUAUAAGAAGUCAUCCAAAAGAUGCGCCAUUAACCUUCUGUGCUGGACAAUAAGAAAGCCACAUCUGACCCCUUUCCCUGAAGGUGCAAAACUUAUUAUUUGGCUAAAAAACUUUAAUAGUCUACUAAAUCGGGCACUGGAAGCAACUCAGGACUCGACGACGCCGGAGUCAAGCCUCUCAGAACCACGGCUGGAAGAAGGAAAAGUCCGAAACCUGCCAAUGGUAGCAAUAGCGACGCAACUGCGGUU